GAAUUUUGGACAAUGGGCGCAAGCCUGAUCCAGCCAUUCCGCGUGAGUGAAGAAGGCCUUCGGGUUGUAAAGCUCUUUCGCAAGGGAAGAAAACUUACCUUUUAAUAGAGGGUGAGGUUGACGGUACCUUGAUAAGAAGCACCGGCUAACUACGUGCCAGCAGCCGCGGUAAUACGUAGGGUGCGAGCGUUAAUCGGAAUUACUGGGCGUAAAGCGUGCGCAGGCGGUUUUGUAAGUCAGAUGUGAAAGCCCCGGGCUCAACCUGGGAACUGCGUUUGAAACUACAAGGCUAGAGUAUGGGAGAGGGGGGUAGAAUUCCACGUGUAGCAGUGAAAUGCGUAGAGAUGUGGAGGAAUACCAAUGGCGAAGGCAGCCCCCUGGCCUAAUACUGACGCUCAUGCACGAAAGCGUGGGGAGCAAACAG
rnacentral:rRNA from 1 species